UGAGUCAUCUCGUCGGAUUCUUAGGUGAUUUUUUUCACCUUCCCCAAUAAAAAGUCAUUGUUCCACCUAAGAAUCCGGCAAGGUGCCUCAUCAUUCCGUCUUCGAAUUUUGUAUAUAGCGGGACAUUUCUUUUGAAAAUACUGAAAUUUGCCGGUUUCUGAAUAUAGAAAUCGAAAGUUCGGAACAUUUCAUGGGAAAAUGUUGAGAGUUGAGGAUACAAAACAGAUUACCUCAGAAAAUAAAUGCUUAAAAAGAGAAAUUAUACAUAUCGGAAAUUCAUUUGGUUACAAAAUAUACCAGCAUAAAUUUAUACAACAAAAGAGCAUUCGAAGUCAUUACAUAAAUUACUCUUGAAUAAGAAAACAAUACUAUAACUUAAGAUAAAAAAGAAUACUCUGAACUUCAUAUACACCUAUAAAUUCCUACCAGCAAUUCAGCAAACAAAAGCUGUAGCAUUCAAACAAUCAUAAUAAUUGGACGUACAGCUAAAGUAAUUAGACACAGAUAGCAGAAUUAAUCGGCAAAGCACCUCCUUCAAGUUCGUUAGAGCCGAUGAAGAGAGAGAGAUCAUCGUCAGCGCCGCCAUUACUCGCUGGAAGCGAGGAGCUCCACGGCAGCGACUCCAACCGUUCGAGCUGCUGGUCCAACUCGCCUCGAGCUCGCUUCCUGGACUUCCGAUAAGCUUUCUUCCUCUCGGCAGACUCCGACGCCAUUCUUGCACUGUGAGAGCUGAAAUCGAAACAGUUUGAGGGAAAAAAUGAGAACGUUUUCCUGUUGGUGAAAUUCGAUUACUUUUUGCCGCAGAAGUUUUGAGGGUUGAUGAGUUCGAU
rnacentral:lncRNA from 1 species